rnacentral:rRNA from 1 species
AUUGAACGCUGGCGGCAGGCUUAACACAUGCAAGUCGAGCGGGGGAAGGUAGCUUGCUACCGGACCUAGCGGCGGACGGGUGAGUAAUGCUUAGGAAUCUGCCUAUUAGUGGGGGACCACGUCUCGAAAGGGAUGCUAACACCGCAUACGUCCUACGGGAGAAAGCAGGGGAUCUUCGGACCUUGCGCUAAUAGAUGAGCCUAAGUCGGAUUAGCUAGUUGGUGGGGUAAAGGCCUACCAAGGCGACGAUCUGUAGCGGGUCUGAGAGGAUGAUCCGCCACACUGGGACUGAGACACGGCCCAGACUCCUACGGGAGGCAGCAGUGGGGAAUAUUGGACAAUGGGGGGAACCCUGAUCCAGCCAUGCCGCGUGUGUGAAGAAGGCCUUAUGGUUGUAAAGCACUUUAAGCGAGGAGGAGGCUACUCUAGUUAAUACCUAGGGAUAGUGGACGUUACUCGCAGAAUAAGCACCGGCUAACUCUGUGCCAGCCGCCGCAGUAA